GAUGAACGCUAGCGGGAGGCCUAACACAUGCAAGCCGAGCGGUAUUUGUUCUUCGGAACAGAGAGAGCGGCGCACGGGUGCGGAACACGUGUGCAACCUGCCUUUAUCUGGGGGAUAGCCUUUCGAAAGGAAGAUUAAUACCCCAUAAUAUAUUGAGUGGCAUCAUUUGAUAUUGAAAACUCCGGUGGAUAGAGAUGGGCACGCGCAAGAUUAGAUAGUUGGUGAGGUAACGGCUCACCAAGUCAAUGAUCUUUAGGGGGCCUGAGAGGGUGAUCCCCCACACUGGUACUGCGACACGGACCAGACUCCUACGGGAGGCAGCAGUGAGGAAUAUUGGACAAUGGGUUAGCGCCUGAUCCAGCCAUCCCGCGUGAAGGACGACGGCCCUAUGGGUUGUAAACUUCUUUUGUAUAGGGAUAAACCUACUCUCGUGAGAGUAGCUGAAGGUACUAUACGAAUAAGCACCGGCUAACUCCGUG
rnacentral:rRNA from 1 species